GACGUAGGGGGCGAGCGUUGUUCGGAUUUACUGGGCGUAAAGCGCGUGUAGGCGGCCAGAUAAGUCCGCUGUGAAAUCUCGAGGCUCAACUUCGAGCUGUCGGUGGAAACUGUCUGGCUAGAGUCCGGAAGAGGAGAAUGGAAUUCCUGGUGUAGUGGUGGAAUGCGUAGAUAUCGGGAGGAACACCAGUGGCGAAGGCGGUUGCCUGGAGCUUUGCUGACGCUGAUGCGCGAAAGCGUGGGGAGCGAGUCCGG
rnacentral:rRNA from 1 species